UACAGAGGUCUCAAGCGUUGUUCGGAUUCAUUGGGCGUAAAGGGUGCGUAGGUGGCGCCGUAAGUCAGGUGUGAAAUUUCGGAGCUUAACUCCGAAACUGCAUUUGAUACUGCCGUGCUUGAGGACUGGAGAGGAGACUGGAAUUUACGGUGUAGCGGUGAAAUGCGUAGAUAUCGUAAGGAAGACCAGUGGCGAAGGCGGGUCUCUGGACAGUUCCUGACGCUGAAGCACGAAGGCCAGGGGAGCAAACGGG
rnacentral:rRNA from 1 species